CGGGAUGUAGCGUAGGUUGGUUAUCGCGCCUGGUUUGGGACCAGGAGGUCGUAGGUUCGAAUCCUAUCAUCCCGAC
rnacentral:tRNA from 1 species